CGGAAGCGUACAUACAUUUUUUUUUUUUAAAACCAAACAAGACGUCUUAUACCUUUGAUUGGAAUUCAACAUUUGCAAAUUAGCUUAAUAAAAUAGUUUCAUCCUCUAGUUUUACCGAGGAAAUAGCACAAUUACAAUUUUGACAAAAACUAACUUUUAAAUGCAUCUGAAAUUCCCAUUCAGGUUCCCCACUCGUAAAUCCUCGCAUUUUACUGCUUCAUCUUCCUCUGUCAUAUCACUGCUCCCGUAUAACAUCACGCAUUAUACGAUCAUCGCAUUCACAUGCACACAAACACAAACAACAGGGUGAGCUAACUGUCACAAACAUACAAAUCAUUCACAGUCCUUUAUAAUAUAUUUACAAUGUUCGAUACAGUUAAUCACACUAUUAAACAUAAUAUAACAAUAUUAUUCUUCAGUAAAAGAAUUAUCAUCUCACUUAUCAAAGUGUUACAGCCUCUCUUUUUUUUUUGACCUACUUACCAAAGUAGCGCAGUACCCGUUUCACUUGUCUACUUACCAAAGUAGAAUGUCGUCAGAUUAUUCUACCUACUUACCAAAGUAGCGUAGUACCAAUCCUUCAACCUACUUACCAAAGUAGUGUAAUACCAAUAUCUCCCUGCCCACUUACCAAAGUAGCGCAGACCAACAUACUCCUGCCUACUUACCAAAGUAGCGCAGACCAANNNNNNNNNNNNNNNNNNNNNNNNNNNNNNNNNNNNNNNNNNNNNNNNNNNNNNNNNNNNNNNNNNNNNNNNNNNNNNNNNNNNNNNNNNNNCUGCCUACUUACCAAAGUAGCGCAGACCAACAUAUUCCUGCCUACUUACCAAAGUAGCGCAGAUCAACAUACUCCUGCUUACUUACCAAAGUAACGCAGGCAAUCAUAAUUACAUUUGUAUGACAUAUUAAUCAUAAUUAACCACAACUCAUUCCAAAACCAAUCAUACUCGACAAGUAUAUGAGAAUCAGUUAAUGUUUCUCAAUUCCAUUUUGUCUACUUACCAAAGUAGCACAGCUCCACAAAGUUACAUUUUUUUUUUAUUAACAUAUCAUUCAUAACAAAUCUCAUGUUAUCUCAACAACCAAUCCCAAACCAAUCAUGCUCAACAAGCAUAUAAUAACCAAUCAACAUUUCUCAAUUUCAAUUCUAUCUACUUACCAAAGUAGCAUAGAUUAACCAAGUUACAUUUUUAUAACUUAUCACACAUAUUCAAUUACAAUCCAUUUCAUCUAACAAUCCCAUUCCAGUCAUGCUCAACAACCAAUUAAUAAUCAACAUAAUAUCAAUUCAAACAUAUCAUCAAUUCGUUUUGCCUACUUACCAAAGUAGCGGAUACUUAAGAGAAUACUCAUCUCCAAACUCAAUUCACAAUCACAAUCUAAUAAUACUUAAUCAUACUUAACAAAGUAUUUCACAUACAUCUCCUUAUCAAAGCAAUUAAACUUACAGUUUAAUUAUCCUCAACCAUACUUAACAAAGUAUUUUCACAUAUAUUCCAUUCCAUAUAUUUCUCAACACAUCAUUCUCAAUUAAACUUACUAUUUAGUUAUCCUCAACCAUACUUAACAAAGUAUAUUCACAUACAACUCAUUUCCACAUCACUUAAUCCAUCAUUCACAAUCAAAUUCACAACUUUCUUCAUGGCAACAUUGGUUACCGAAACUUAGGUAACUCAAACAGCUUGGAGACCAUCACCAAUGGUUCCGGAAGGGUCAAAAACCUCCAGAACGACCUAAAGAACGUCCAAAACGGACANCCGUAACCCCCAAAACCAUCAAAACAGAUUUAGUAGUGCGCAGAUGCAGGGUUAAUCGAUUAACCAUGAUAGUUAAUCGAUUAACUGUUUAUAUUUUACCCAAAAACUCAUUCAAAACAGCAUAGAAACCACCAACACUUUCCCUUAUCGCAAUUUCUUUUCCAGAAUGGUAUAAAACCAAGAUUUAACAUCAUAUCAACAUAUAAAAUGAUUUUCAAAUAUCUUUUCAUCAAGAUUUACAAUCAUCAAACACUUAGCAUCAUAGAAUCAAGAUCAAACAAUACCACUAAGUCCAAUACCAAAAUUUCCAGCAUAGAUUCAACACUUCUAACAUGUUUUAAAAUAUAUCUGGAGUCUGAAAUUUGCUUCCCAAACAACUACAAAUAUCAUAGACAUCAAACAUCCAAUCUUAUACAAAAUUCAACUCUUUCCAUUACACAUAAAACAUAUUUUUCUCCAAAAUUUUUCUAGCACAUUUAAACAACAUGAUAAUCAUUCUAACAGCCCCUAAAAUGUGCUAAAUCCACCCCAAAACAGUUCAUACCAAUCACCCAUUUACCCAUCAUCAAAAACAAAUUUGGAAAUGCACAAUACUCAAGUGAAUUUUUCCAACAACUCAUCAUCAACUUUUCUCAACAAAACAUACUUUUAAAUCUACCAAUUUUCAACACAUAAUUUUUUUUUUAUAACAUCAUUUAACUUACUGUUUUACUCAUGAUACUUCCAUCUUGUCAAGAUAUUCACACAAACCAAAUCAAUUCAUCCAUCUAAAAUUCAUCAACCAACCAAAACAAACUGUUUUCGCACUUCAUGACAAAGUGAGAUAAGCUUCCAUGUUUUCAAUCCAAUUUCAUAACCAAAUUCAUUCAAAACUUCCCUUCCACACAUACCAACAUAGAAAAACGAAAUUCCACCAUCAAUUCAUCAUAGAUCCAUCAAUUCCCACCAAACUUUCAUCAUGUAAUUUAAUCAAGAUUCAAAGAUCAAAGUUGUAGUAAAAGAUUCAUUCAAAUCAACUUCUUGAAAUCAUAUCAUGCAAUCUCAAUUUCUCAUUCUCAAAUCUUUAAUACCCAACUUCCACCCAUAAAGAAACAACAUACUCAUCAAGUAAUUUCUGCACAUACAAAAAAAUAAAAGAGACAAGUUAGCUCCCCUUACCUCUUGAAGAUCUCUUUUGGACACUUCAACUUCUUCUUCCAAGAGAGCAACUCUUCUCCCCCUUGCUAGACCAAGUCAUCUCCCAUCCUUUGGACACUUAGAAUUUUCGUGCUCUCCUCUCCAAGAGCCUCUUUCCUCUGCCCAAAAACUCCAGACCAGAUUUUAGGCUAAAAGAAAUGAGCCUAGACAACCAAGGACCCACCUCCAUGAUGUUUAGCAAUAAUAACCAACUCAUGGACCAUCAUAAAUCCUUUUCCAGCCCCAAAAAAUGGAAGGAAUGUCUGUAAG
rnacentral:lncRNA from 1 species